UCUCGCUCUCUCUCUCUCUGUCUCUCUCUCUCUCUCUCUCUCUCUCUCUCUCUCUCUCUCUCUCUCUCUCUCUCUCUCUCAUAGGCUACCGGUCUAUUUACUUUCGAGCAUAGUUGGCUAUUGACUGAGCGAUGUACAAAGGGUACAUCUAAUAUCUAAUAUUUGUUUUGUAACAGGAAUAAAACAGUCAUGUCAGAAAAGGAGAGACCUGCCUUGCAUGUCAGUAAGCAUUAUACUGUUAGUCUACACCUGUUAUUUAUGAAGCAUGUGACGAAUAACAUUUGAUUUGAUUUGAUUUGCAAUGUGAUUAUGAUUUCGGCCUACGUUAUGAAAGUCAACUAAAUAUAUAUCAGGUGACGUGCUGCUAUGUGAUCUUCUUACCAACGUUAAAUGCAUCUGUUUUAUCAUUAGUUCUACUUUUUACUGUUUUUUAUUAGCCUACCAUAAGUAUUAUUCCUGUGUAUCAAGGAACUACAAUAUCUGCUUGCAGUACAGUUGAUCAACCACUAGGAGGUGUGUGUCCGCAUGGUCUUAGAUUAGCAUGGAGGUACGCGCACUUUCCUGCCAAGUUUAAAAUGUGUAAAUACUAACCUUUUAGAGAAAACUGUCAGACUGAAGGUUUGUGCUCACGCACCUUUGAUAAAUGAGGUCCUUCCUGGUGUGAAUAAGAUGGUUGUACUGUGUGGAGACGCCCUUCUAAACAUGGAGAGUCUAUUAGGACCAGUCUGUUAGUGCUGAAACUAUGGACCAGUCUAUUAGUGCUGAAACUAUGGACCAGUCUAUUAGUGCUGAAACUAUGGACCAGUCUGUUAGUGCUGAAACUAUGGACCAGUCUAUUAGUGCUGAAACUAUGGACCAGUCUAUUAGUGCUGAAACUAUGGACCAGUCGGUUAGUGCUGAAACUAUGGACCAGUCUGUUAGUGCUGAAACUAUGGACCAGUCUGUUAGUGCUGAAACUAUGGACCAGUCUGUUAGUGCUGAAACUAUAGACCAGUCUAUUAUUGCUGAAACAAUGGACCAGUCUGUUAGUGCUGAAACUAUGGACCAGUCUGUUAGUGCUGAAACUAUGGACCAGUCUGUUAGUGCUGAAACUAUGGACCAGUCUGUUAUUGCUGAAACUAUGGACCAGUCUGUUAUUGCUGAAACUAUGAACCAGUCUGUUAGUGCUGAAACGAUAGACCAGUCUAUUAGUGCUGAAACUAUGGACCAGUCUGUUAGUGCUGUAACUAUGGACCAGUCUGUUAGUGCUGAAAGUAUGGACCAGUCUGUUAUUGCUGAAACUAUGGACCAGUCUAUUAGUGCUGAAACUAUGAACCAGUCUGUUAGUGCUGAAACUAUGGACCAGUCUGUUAGUGCUGAAACUAUGGACCAGUCUGUUAUUGCUGAAACUAUGGACCAGUCUGUUAUUGCUGAAACUAUGGACCAGUCUGUUAGUGCUGAAACUAUGGACCAGUCUAUUAGUGCUGAAACUAUGGACCAGUCUGUUAGUGCUGAAACUAUGGACCAGUCUAUUAGUGCUGAAAUUAUGGACCAGCUGUACCACUAGGCUGUAGACAGAGAGCUGUACCACUAGGCUGUAGACAGAGAGCUGUACCACUAGGCUGUAGACAGAGAGUUGUACCACUAGGCUGUACACAGAGAGCUGUACCACUAGGCUGUAGACAGAGAGUUGUACCACUAGGCUGUAGACAGAGAGCUGUACCACUAGGCUGUAGACAGAGAGCUGUACCACUAGGCUGUAGACAGAGAGCUGUACCACUAGGCUGUAGACAGAGAGUUGUACCACUAGGCUGUAGACAGAGAGUUGUACCACUCCCGCUGUGUAACUGAAGGUUUUGGGGGUCACCUCCGCUGUGUAACUGAAGGUUUUGGGGGUCACCCCCGCUGUGUAACUGAAGGUUUUGGGGGUCACCCCCGCUGUGUAACUGAAGGUUUUUGGGGCUCACUCCCGCUGUGUAACUGAAGGUUUUUGGGGUCACCUCCGCUCUGUAACUGAAGGUCUUGGGGGUCACCUCCGCUGUGUAGCUGAAGAUUUUGGGGGUCACCUCCGCUGUGUAGCUGAAGGUUUUAUGGUCACCUCCGCUGUGUAGCUGAAGGUUUUAGGGUCACCUCCGCUGUGUAACUGAAGGUUUUGGGGGUCACCCCCGCUGUGUAACUGAAGGUUUUGGGCGUCACCCCCGCUGUGUAACUGAAGGUUUUGGGGUCACCUCUGCUGUGUAACUGAAUGUUUUAGGGUCACCUCCGCUGUGUAACUGAAGGUUUUAGGGUCACAUCCGCUGUGUAACUGAAGGUUUUGGUGUCACCUCCGCUGUGUAACUGAAGGUUUUAGGGUCACCUCCGCUGUGUAGCUGAAGGAUUUAGGGUCACCUCCGCUGUGUAACUGAAAUUUUCGGGGUCAAAUCCGCUGUGUAGCUGAAGGUUUUGGGGUCACCCCGCUGUGUAGCAGAAGGUUUUGGGUCUCACCCCAGCUGUGUAACUGAAGGUUUUGGGGUCACCUCCGCUGUGUAGCUGAAGGUUUUGGGUCUCACCCCAGCUGUGUAACUGAAGGUUUUGGGGUCACCUCCGCUGUGUAGCUGAAGGUUUUGGGUCUCACCCCAGCUGUGUAACUGAAGGUUUUGGGUCUCACCCCAGCUGUGUAACUGAAGGUUUUGGGUCUCACCCCAGCUGUGUAACUGAAGGUUUUGGGUCUCACCCCAGCUGUGUAACUGAAGGUUUUGGGUCUCACCCCGCUGUGUAACUCUGGUGAGAGCUCUCUGCUAGUGAGAGAGUUGACACGACCUCUAUCUCUCCCCACUGCCAUCCUCUGUCUCCAUCUGUUCAAUAAAUUCAGAAAAUAUAUAUUUAUAAAAAGAAGUAGUCUGUCUCCACCGACUGCAUAGAAAGGAGGGAAGAAGGAGGUAGAGUGAAUGAGGGGAGGAGGUAGAUUGAACGAGGGAUGGAGAUAGAGUGAACGAGGGGUGAAGGAGGUAGAGUGAACGAGGGGUGAAGGAGGUAGAGUGAACGAGGGAAGAAGGAGGUAGAGUGAACGAGGGGAGAAGGAGGUAGAGUGAACGAGGGGUGAAGGAGGUAGAGUGAAUGAGGGGAGGAGGUAGAGUGAACGAGGGAUGGAGGUAGAGUGAACGAGGGGAGGAGGUAGCGUGAACGAGGGGUGAAGGAGGUAGAGUGAACGAGGGUAGAAGGAGGUAGAGUGAACGAGGGAAGAAGGAGGUAGAGUGAACGAGGGGAGAAGGAGGUAGAGUGAACGACGGGAGAAGGAGGUAGAGUGAACGAGGGGUGAAGGAGGUAGAGUGAACGAGGGAAGAAGGAGGUAGAGUGAACGAGGGAAGAAGGAGGUAGAGUGAACGAGGGGAGAAGGAGGUAGAGUGAACGAGGGAAGAAGGAGGUAGAGUGAACGAGGGAAGAAGGAGGUAGAGUGAACGAGGGAAGAAGGAGGUAGAGUGAACGAGGGAAGAAGGAGGUAGAGUGAUGCUUGUGGAACCUCCCACUCUCUCUCCUCCACUGUGUGUUUCUGCAGUUCUACGGUCUCUAUGUCCUCCCUUUCAUUUAGCCAGUGGCUUCUCUCUCUCUCUCUCUCUCUCUCUCUCUCUCUCUCUCUCUCUCUCUCUCUCUCAAUCUCCCUCCGUCUUUCUCUCUCUAUCCAACCCUCCCU
rnacentral:lncRNA from 1 species